rnacentral:rRNA from 1 species
AGUGAACGCUGGCGGUAGGCCUAACACAUGCAAGUCGAACGGCAGCACAGUAAGAGCUUGCUCUUACGGGUGGCGAGUGGCGGACGGGUGAGGAAUACAUCGGAAUCUACUUUUUCGUGGGGGAUAACGUAGGGAAACUUACGCUAAUACCGCAUACGACCUACGGGUGAAAGCAGUGGAUCUUCGGACCUUGCGCGAUUGAAUGAGCCGAUGUCGGAUUAGCUAGUUGGCGGGGUAAAGGCCCACCAAGGCGACGAUCCGUAGCUGGUCUGAGAGGAUGGUCAGCCACACUGGAACUGAGACACGGUCCAGACUCCUACGGGAGGCAGCAGUGGGGAAUAUUGGACAAUGGGCGGAAGCCUGAUCCAGCCAUACCGCGUGGGUGAAGAAGGCCUUCGGGUUGUAAAGCCCUUUUGUUGGGAAAGAAAAGCAGCAGGUUAAUACCCCGCUGUUCUGACGGUACCCAAAGAAUAAGCACCGGCUAACUUCGUG